AGCAAAAGAAACCAACAGGGAUUGCCCUAGUAACGGCGAGUGAAGCGGCAUCAGCUCAAAUUUGAAAUCUGGCUCUUUCAGGGUCCGAGUUGUAAUUUGCAGAGGGCGCUUUGGCGUUGGCAGCGGUCCAAGUUCCUUGGAACAGGACGUCACAGAGGGUGAGAAUCCCGUACGUGGUCGCUGGCCUUCGCCGUGUAAAGCCCCUUCGACGAGUCGAGUUGUUUGGGAAUGCAGCUCUAAAUGGGAGGUAAAUUUCUUCUAAAGCUAAAUACUGGCCAGAGACCGAUAGCGCACAAGUAGAGUGAUCGAAAGAUGAAAAGCACUUUGGAAAGAGAGUCAAAUAGCACGUGAAAUUGUUGAAAGGGAAGCGCUUGCAGCCAGACUUGCCUGUAGUUGCUCAUCCGGGCUUUUGCCCGGUGCACUCUUCUGCGGGCAGGCCAGCAUCAGUCUGGGCGGUUGGAUAAAGGCCUCUGUCAUGUACCUUCUCUCGGGAAGGCCUUAUAGGGGAGGCGUAAUGCAACCAGCCUGGACUGAGGUCCGCGCAUCUGCUAGGAUGCUGGCGUAAUGGCUGUAAGCGGC
rnacentral:rRNA from 1 species